UGUCAUAAAUUAUUUGUAACAUUUAAUUUGUGUACGUUUUUACAGAAAAAUUGUGUUAUUUAAAUCGAAUAACAUUCAUGAUCUAUAAAGUUAACACUAACAAAGAAAGUUCGACAAUUGUCACACGCUGAAAAAUUUGAAUUUUUGCAGAAAUAAAGUUCAUGGGAUUCUAAUCACUGUGCCCUUUUCCAUAAACGUAAACCAGCUCUCUCAAACAAAAAUAUUAAGCUACGAAAACAGUUUGUUGACACCUAUAAAGAAUGGACAACCGAAGAUUGGAAAAGAGUUAUUAUCGAAAAAGUGAUUAGAAUAAUAUAGAAAAUGGGAGAUCAGUUUGAAUCCUUUAAGGUUUCAAAAGUACAUAGAACGCAUUGCUGGAAGUCUAAGUGGAAGAAAUUUAUUAAAGAUAAAGUGAGAAAUGAAUAAAGAGAUCCACUAUUUCUAACGCACAAUUUAUUGUAUUAGAAUACAGUUCAUACAUACACAGAACGCAUGGCAGAAAGUCUUGUAACAAAUUUAAAUGUUUAUGAUGAAGUGAAAAUAAAAAAAGUGGUCCACUAUUUAUAAGACACAAUUUAUUGUAUUAGGACACUUAUUCUCUUUGCACAAUGUUUCUUAUUUGCACAAAAUGAACAUUUACUGUAAUUUGUAUUACGAACUGCACACUCAAACACCAUAUAUUUCUUUCCACAACGACAAGGUAGAUAUUUCAUUACUUAUAACCAUAUACUUCCCAAUACAAUAUCACUACACGUAGCCUUUAAAAUAAUUAUUCAAUUUGCAACGUCCAAAUGUCACAAAUACAAACUGACGGAAGCCUGGCAAAAUAUAAUAAUCCACCUUCAGUUGUUCAUGAAUUGUGGGAAAGAACACAACAGGAAUGGUACAAUAUUGAGCCACAAAUAAUCACAAAUUUAAUUGACAGUAUGGCUCGUAGAUUAGAAUCAUUAAGAAAAAGUAAAGAAAAGUGGACGAAAUACUAGGUUGAAACCUUAAUUCGUCGAGUAUAAUUAAAGUGCAAAACAGUAAACAUUGUUUCAAAACACAAUUAUUAUAAAAUAUUCUGUACAUUAUUAAUGUUAAUGAAAAUAAACCAUUACAUUUCAUUAAUCAGAUGUCACUUCAAUAAUAUAUUUGGCUGAGCGGUUCGACGAUAACCAGGAAGCAACGAUGAUUGAAGUUGCGUAACCUUUUUUGGGAGACCCUAAUACUACUAUAUACAGAUCGAUCGGAAAUGUUCAAUCGUAAAGCGGCAAGAAAAGGACCAACUAAAAGGACCAACGUAUCAUAUUCUCCAUCAACUCGGUCUGUCACACGUGUGUCAAGCUGCGACGUCUACUAAAAACUUAAUUAUACAUUCCGUUUAGCUAUAACGCUUUAACUGGUUCUAGAACUCUGUCGCCCGUUGAACUGGAGCUCUUCUUGGUAGUAAUUCGGAGAGCGUAGAAGGAAACAAUUAAUCUUGUCAUUUACGUUCACGCAUUUGAAUAUCCAUCGUGUCUAACAUUCUGUCGACGAGUUCCGUC